AUUGAACGCUGGCGGCAGGCCUAACACAUGCAAGUCGAGCGGCAGCGGGAAAGUAGCUUGCUACUUUUGCCGGCGAGCGGCGGACGGGUGAGUAAUGCCUGGUGAUCUGCCCAGUCGAGGGGGAUAACUACUGGAAACGGUAGCUAAUACCGCAUACGCCCUACGGGGGAAAGCAGGGGACCUUCGGGCCUUGCGCGAUUGGAUGAACCCAGGUGGGAUUAGCUAGUUGGGGAGGUAAUGGCUCACCAAGGCGACGAUCCCUAGCUGGUCUGAGAGGAUGAUCAGCCACACUGGAACUGAGACACGGUCCAGACUCCUACGGGAGGCAGCAGUGGGGAAUAUUGCACAAUGGGGGAAACCCUGAUGCAGCCAUGCCGCGUGUGUGAAGAAGGCCUUCGGGUUGUAAAGCACUUUCAGCGAGGAGGAAAGGUUGGUAGCUAAUAACUGCCAGCUGUGACGUUACUCGCAGAAGAAGCACCGGCUAACUCCGUGCCAGCAGCCGCAGUAAUAC
rnacentral:rRNA from 1 species